UUUUUUUGAAUGAAUUUUUUCUAACUAAAUGGUUGAAAUGGAUGUCACUAAUUUUAAUUCCUAUUUCAGAGUCCCAUUUUUUUCAAUUGAAUAUGUGUUAUAAGGUGAGGAUGGGUUGAAUGAAAACUAUUUGGUCGUGUUAAUUAUCUUGUAAUUGUUUAAGGGUUCAAGUGUAUCCUCUGAGAAAUGAAAUUACAAAGAAU
rnacentral:lncRNA from 1 species